rnacentral:rRNA from 1 species
UACAGAGGGGGCAAGCGUUAUUCGGAAUUAUUGGGGGUAAAGGGCGCGUAGGCGGCUUGGCAAGUGGAUGGUGAAAUCCCUCGGCUUAACCGAGGAACUGCCGUCCAAACUGCUUCGCUUGAGACCGGGAGAGGUGAGUGGAAUUCCCAGUGUAGCGGUGAAAUGCGUAGAUAUUGGGAGGAACACCAGUGGCGAAGGCGGCUCACUGGACCGGUACUGACGCUGAUGCGCGAAAGCCAGGGGAGCAAACGGG